rnacentral:rRNA from 1 species
AUUGCAGUCUGCAACUCGACUGCAUGAAGCUGGAAUCGCUAGUAAUCGCGAAUCAGCAUGUCGCGGUGAAUACGUUCCCGGGUCUUGUACACACCGCCCGUCACACCAUGGGAGUCGGAAAUGCCCGAAGCCAGUGACCCAACCUUUAAGGAGGGAGCUGUCGAAGGCAGGUCUGGUAACUGGGGUGAAGUCGUAACAAGGUACC